rnacentral:rRNA from 1 species
CAGCACGUAAUGGUGGGCACUCUAAGGAGACUGCCGGUGACAAACCGGAGGAAGGUGGGGAUGACGUCAAGUCAUCAUGGCCCUUACGGCCUGGGCUACACACGUGCUACAAUGGUCGGUACAGAGGGUUGCCAAGCCGCGAGGUGGAGCUAAUCCCAGAAAACCGAUCGUAGUCCGGAUCGCAGUCUGCAACUCGACUGCGUGAAGUCGGAAUCGCUAGUAAUCGCGAAUCAGAAUGUCGCGGUGAAUACGUUCCCGGGCCUUGUACACACCGCCCGUCACACCAUGGGAGUGGGUUGCACCAGAAGUAGCUA